AGAGUUUGAUCAUGGCUCAGAAUCAACGCUGGCGGCGUGCCUAACACAUGCAAGUCGAACGCGAAAGCCCCGCAAGGGGCAAGUAGAGUGGCAAACGGGUGAGUAACGCGUGGGUGACCUGCCUUCGAGCGGGGGAUAACGUUCCGAAAGGGACGCUAAUACCGCAUAACAUCCCGCCUUUGAACAGGUGGAGAUCAAAG
rnacentral:rRNA from 1 species